UUUUGUUACCUUCCAUCAGCUGAGGGGUGGAGAGGGUUCCCAGAGCCGCAGGCUCCUCCAAUAAGGAUUAGAUUGCAUACAAAAAAGCCCUGGCUAAGAACUUGCUUCCUCAUCCUACAGCUGGUACCAGAACUCUCUCUAAUCUUCACUGGAAGAAAAUGUCUAUCCAAAUUGAACACCCUGCUGGUGGCUACAAGAAACUAUUUGAAACUGUGGAGGAACUGUCCUCACCACUAACAGCUCAUGUCACAGGCAGGAUUCCCCUCUGGCUCACUGGCAGUCUCCUCCGAUGUGGGCCAGGGCUCUUUGAAGUUGGAUCUGAGCCUUUCUAUCACCUGUUUGAUGGACAAGCCCUUUUGCACAAGUUUGACUUCAAGGAGGGCCAUGUCACAUACCACAGAAGAUUCAUCCGCACUGAUGCUUAUGUUCGAGCAAUGACUGAGAAGAGGAUUGUCAUAACAGAAUUUGGCACCUGUGCUUUCCCAGACCCCUGCAAGAAUAUAUUUUCCAGGUUUUUUUCUUACUUUAAAGGAGUAGAGGUUACUGACAAUGCCCUUGUAAAUAUCUACCCAGUGGGAGAAGAUUACUAUGCAUGCACAGAGACCAACUUUAUCACAAAGAUUAACCCAGAGACCUUGGAGACAAUUAAGCAGGUUGAUCUUUGCAACUAUAUUUCUGUCAAUGGUGCCACUGCUCAUCCACAUAUUGAAAGUGAUGGAACAGUUUACAACAUUGGGAAUUGCUUUGGAAAAAAUUUUACAGUUGCCUACAACAUUAUUAAGAUCCCUCCACUGAAAGCAGACAAGGAAGAUCCAAUAAACAAGUCAGAAGUUGUUGUGCAGUUCCCCUGCAGUGAUCGUUUCAAGCCAUCUUAUGUACACAGUUUUGGUCUGACUCCCAACUAUAUCGUUUUUGUGGAGACUCCAGUCAAAAUUAACCUUUUCAAGUUUCUUUCUUCGUGGAGUCUUUGGGGAGCCAACUACAUGGACUGUUUCGAGUCCAAUGAAAGCAUGGGGGUUUGGCUUCAUGUUGCUGAUAAAAAAAGAAGAAAAUACUUCAAUAACAAAUACAGGACUUCCCCUUUCAAUCUCUUCCAUCAUAUCAAUACUUAUGAAGACAAUGGAUUUCUGAUUGUGGAUCUCUGUUGCUGGAAAGGGUUUGAAUUUGUUUAUAAUUACUUAUAUUUAGCCAAUUUACGUGAGAAUUGGGAAGAAGUUAAAAGAAAUGCUAUGAAGGCUCCUCAGCCUGAAGUCAGGAGAUAUGUACUUCCUUUGACAAUUGACAAGGUCGACACAGGCAGAAAUUUAGUCACACUGCCCCAUACAACUGCCACAGCCACUCUGCGCAGUGAUGAGACCAUAUGGCUGGAACCUGAGGUUCUCUUUUCAGGGCCUCGUCAAGCCUUUGAAUUUCCUCAAAUCAAUUACCAGAAAUUUGGAGGGAAACCUUAUACUUAUGCAUACGGACUUGGGUUGAAUCACUUUGUUCCUGACAAGCAGCUCUGUAAGAUGAACGUCAAAACUAAAGAAAUCUGGAUGUGGCAAGAGCCAGAUUCUUACCCAUCUGAACCCAUCUUUGUUUCUCAACCAGAUGCUCUGGAAGAAGAUGAUGGUAAUGGAAUCAAUGAGUGUCUGGACUUUGCUUUAUAUUGAAAUUCAGUGUGUUCUCUAUUAGGAAAGGGGUUGGGCUGAUUAUUUACUAACUUUCAAAUGGUGGUUCUUAAACUGAAUGGAACUGCACCAGAAUUGAAUUUCUGUGGUCAGGUCUUGGAGAUCACUACUAGAAAAAACAAAAUGCAACCAACCAAAACAAAAACAAAACACCACAGUAAAACACCUUCUGCAGCAUAGUGAAGCUCUGAAUGGAAGGGAUAAGAAAAGGCAUAACAGCAAGAAUUCUAACAGCCUUUCUUCAGCAAACUAUAUUUUUGAAUAAGCAGAUGGAGUUCUAAGAAGGGAAAUAAAAUAUUAUAGCAGAUCAAUGAAUGUGCAUGUCUGGGACUCUAGUUCUCAUUUGUUUGUUUUAUUAAGUUGAGGCUAAACAAGAACCCUAGCCACAGCAUAUAAUAAAGCAACUGCAUUACAUAGCAUCAGUCUUGAUUAAGCAUUGCUGCUAGGAAGCCUAGAAAGCUAGAUCAGUGCUUAAGAGUACUGCCUGCUGUUGUUGAAGACAGGGUUCAACUCCCAGCACCCACAUUAUAGCUCACAACCAGCUGUACCUUCAGCUUCAGGUGACUCAGAACCUUCUUCUGGCCUCGGUGGACACCAGAAAUAUAUAUGCUACACAGGUACUUAUGCAAACAAAAUGACCAUACACAUAAAAAUAAUAAAAGAAUUUAAAAACAUUAAUGCAAAGAUAGGAGAAUGUAUUACAUUCUGUAGGGUUAAAGUUUUAAAAUAUAGGAAAACAUAAAAGAAUGAUAAAUAAUUUUGGUGGCCAUUUUUAAUAAGUGGUUUUAUAUUCACACCACACAUUGAAAAGUAUAAAAGUUAGGUUUUCAUUAUGUUUGAAAGAAGUAAACUUACAUAUAAGUCUUGAAAUUUAUAGUUAUAACACUCUUCUGCUUUAAAAGUUUUAAAGUGUACAUUUUUAUUAGUCAUAACUUAUAUUAAAGAUAAGAACAUAGAUCUGCUCCCUUAGUCAACAUUGAUGAGUUAGUACUUUGAUCUGGUUGUUGUAAUAAGAAACUGUGGUGUCUUAUUACAGACAAGGUCACUCCCUUCCUGAGGAUAGUGCUAGUCCAGGAAGAAAGGGUUUAAAGUAUUCCUUCAAGUGGUCACACAGCCAGGUUAUUAAAAAGCCAAACAGCUGGGCAAUGGCGGCACUUGCCUUGAAUCCCAGCACUUUGGAGGCAGAGGCAGGUGGAUUUCUGAAUUUGAGGCCAACCUGGUCUACAGAGUGACAGCCUGGCCUCCAGGACAGCUAGGGCUACACAGAAAAACUCUGUCUCGAAAAAUCAAAAAACAAAACCAAAAACCAAAAAACAAAAACAAAAAACAGAAUCACAAUAAGUCACAUGGUUUUCUAUGUGACUUAUUUCUAUGUGAUUUCUAUUUCUUAAUGUAAUAGCACCUUACUACCUAUAUAAUUUCAAUGUCAGAUAAUCAUAAAACCUGACUUUAAAAUUGCAAAACUGCCUUAAUUAACAGGUGUGGUUCUGAGUGUGGUGGUGAGCCCUGGGGCAGGGCAAAAGCCUGCAUAUCUCCUGGUUCUGAAUGCCAAAGACUUGAGUGAAAUUGCCAGGGCUGAAGUGGAGACUAAUAUCCCUGUGACCUUCCAUGGACUGUUCAAAAGAUCCUGAACAUAUUCCAGAUGGCUCAGCAGUACAACACUGACUGCCCUUCUACAGAUCGUGUGUUCAAUUCCCAAAGAUCACCUGGUGACUCACUUCCAUCUGAGACGGAAUCCAAUGCCCUCUUAUGCUGUUUCUGAAGACAGCAAAAGUGUACUCAUAUAUACAUAUGAUAAAUA